rnacentral:rRNA from 1 species
CCUACGGGCGGCUGCAGUGGGGAAUAUUGCACAAUGGGCGCAAGCCUGAUGCAGCCAUGCCGCGUGUGUGAAGAAGGCCUUCGGGUUGUAAAGCACUUUCAGCGGGGAGGAAGGCGGUGAGGUUAAUAACCUCAUCGAUUGACGUUACCCGCAGAAGAAGCACCGGCUAACUCCGUGCCAGCAGCCGCGGUAAUACGGAGGGUGCAAGCGUUAAUCGGAAUUACUGGGCGUAAAGCGCACGCAGGCGGUCUGUCAAGUCGGAUGUGAAAUCCCCGGGCUCAACCUGGGAACUGCAUUCGAAACUGGCAGGCUAGAGUCUUGUAGAGGGGGGUAGAAUUCCAGGUGUAGCGGUGAAAUGCGUAGAGAUCUGGAGGAAUACCGGUGGCGAAGGCGGCUCCCUGGACAAAGACUGACGCUCAGGUGCGAAAGCGUGGGGAGCAAACAGGAUUAGAUACCCGGGUAGUC